UAGGGAAUCUUCGGCAAUGGGGGGAACCCUGACCGAGCAACGCCGCGUGAGUGAAGAAGGUUUUCGGAUCGUAAAGCUCUGUUGUUAAGGAAGAACGAGUGUGAGAAUGGAAAGUUCAUGCUGUGACGGUACUUAACCAGAAAGGGACGGCUAACUACGUGCCAGCAGCCGCGGUAAUACGUAGGUCCCGAGCGUUGUCCGGAUUUAUUGGGCGUAAAGCGAGCGCAGGCGGUUAGAAAAGUCUGAAGUGAAAGGCAGUGGCUCAACCAUUGUAGGCUUUGGAAACUGUUUAACUUGAGGGCAGAAGGGGAGAGUGGAAUUCCAUGUGUAGCGGUGAAAUGCGUAGAUAUAUGGAGGAACACCGGUGGCGAAAGCGGCUCUCUGGUCUGUAACUGACGCUGAGGCUCGAAAGCGUGGGGAGCGAACAGG
rnacentral:rRNA from 2 species